rnacentral:rRNA from 1 species
UGAUCGGCGCUCGACUCUGAAUAUUGAGAUCGGCCCCAUUUCUUAAUCCACUUCACACUUGUGCACAUUUUUCCUACUUUCCUUCGGGAGAGUUUGAAAAGCUCUUGUGAUUUUAAUCAAGUCCAGGAUGUGAAUCCAAUUUGAAUAAGUUGUAAAACAACUACAAACGGUGGAUCUCUUGGCUCUCGUAUCGAUGAAGAACGCAGCGAAACGCGAAAUUGUAAUGUGAAUUGCAGAAUUCAGUGAAUCAUCGAAUCUUUGAACGCAUCUUGCACUCUCGAAUCACUAUCGAGAGUAUGCCUGUUUGAGUGUCGCGAAACUCUCAACCCCGCCUCAUGCUUUAUCGCGUGUGGGUAGCUUGGGCUUGGAUCAUGAUCUUUGCAGUAAUGCGCUAGCAGAACUGCUGGAUUGAAAUACAACAAGCUGAAUCUAUAUACUUGCGGCUUGACCUGUCGUUGUAAGCACACAAAUGCAUUCGAUGGGGACGCGAGAAAAUGGAAUGAGCUUUCCAAAUGUGUUACACUUUGCAGCUUCUAUUAACUUAGAGCUCUUAGUGCAUUCUGACCUCAAAUCAGGUAGGAUUACCCGCUGAACUUAAGCAUAUCAAUAAGCGGAGGA